CCCUCCCUCUGUGUUUAGCUAUCACCAUUUAGGCCUAGAAGAUAACAAUACAUGCAUUAAAAUAUCUCCAAAUUGUCUGUGGACUUGAAAUUGUACGGUUUACAAUAGGCCUACACUAGCCUAGGCUACUGUAAACAGACACCCGUGAACUUUGCCCAGUGCUUGCAGCACUCCAUUGAAAAACGUGAAACUGCAGACAGUGAGCAUGCAUGGUGUUGGUAGCUAGAUAUUCCAUACGUGUGUAUUUUGCAAUAGCCUAUGAUGGCUUACCUUGGUAGCCUACAUAGCUAGCUGCAACUAGCUACUUCAAGUAGCUAAAUCUGCCCAUGCAUUUUAAAUGCACGCUUUAGCUUCCCAUAUUAAAUGCUUUCGCGCCAAUACACUGUAGUUACUCUUUCUUCCAAUGCAAACAUACACGUUCCUAACUUUAGAAAUGCACAUUCAAAUGAUAAAUCCACUAUUUACCACCGCAUUACUAUAGUCGGGGAGAGGGGAAACACAUUGACCCUAUGGUACCACGCAUUACUAGCUCAGUGCACCGCUUGCCAUAACAUUGCUUUUUUCAAUAAUGAACAAAAAGGAUCUCUGAACUGUGCGUUCUGGCAUCUCGUAUAAAGAAAGCAGCAAAGGUGGUCAGUGCCAGCGAACCAUCUGCACUAACCUCUUGCUCUCCCUCGUAAAUGACAAGGCACCUCUAACCUGCGGCUUUGUGUCAUGUUUUCUUAUUCUCUCCAUGCCUGCGAUUUUCAAAGCCAGAGGUGAAUAUAGCUACCUUCGUUCUGGCGGAUACGUGUCGCGGGGUCGCCCUCUACGCUGUCAAAAGACGUAGAUCCAUGCGGGAGAAUGCCGAUUUUGGAGGCCGGCGGGGGUUGCAGUCUGGGCGGGGUCGCCCUCUACGCUGUCAAAAGACGUAGAUCCAUGCGGGAGAAUGCCGAUUUUGGAGGCCGGCGGGGGUUGCAGUCUGGGCGGGCAGGGCAGAACCUUCGACCCUGGGGGACCUCGGCUGGCUCUUGUGGAAACGAGACAGACAGAAGCGGAGAGGGGGAGCAAGAGAGAGAGAGCAGCCUCGAUCUGACAGAGGAGAAGCCGGAGAGCGGUGUAGUGAGAUGGGACUGCCACUGGGGUCAGAGAGAGCAGAGAGAGCACAGCCUCACACGCGGGCUCGAGCACGGGCACAGACAGACAUGUGCGCACUCCCGUUUGUCUCAAACACCCGUGUUCCGCUUCUGCAAGCUGGCUCAAUCUAUUCCAUUUAGUAAGACAGAUAACCACCAUGAACCUGUCAGCAACAUUUCCACGUGGAAAUAUACUUUAUUUCUCUCGCCAUUCGUGGCUUGUCUUUUGGCAUGGAUAUGAUAGGCUUGCCUAAGGUAUACGAGUAUUUAGUGUUUACUGCAAUUCACACUUGCAGGGCACCACAGACGUGACGGAGUUGACUGGGAGAGUGGAAAAAAUAUGCGGCUAUCGAUUUCCUUCAGUAAAACCAUAAUACAGAAUUCAAUACUGUGGCUGCAAGUCCACGAACUCUCCAAAUGUCACAUCGUUUGUCCACCAUGCAGCCAAAUAUGCAGCAGUCCACCAGCAGCAGUAGCCUACAGCAGUCAUCCUGCAGUGAUUUCUGUAAUAGAUUUAACACAAUUAUUUGUUCACAUUUAAAGUAAUGAUCCAGUGAAAAUCUCACUUUUAAAAGUAAAUAUUAUUCUACCCAAAUAAUGUUGUUGACUCAUCCUAUACUCAUAGUUGUGGCCACAGAAUAAAAUGGGGGGAAAAAACACUUAAAAAACCCACCUCAAACUUGUAUUUCAGACUGUUUAAAAUUUGAAUAUUUUUUAUGACUGGUAUAUGUGUAACCGAUGUGAAAUGGCUAGUUUGUUAGCGGUGGUGCGCGCUAAUAGCGUUUCAAUCAGUGACGUCACUCGCUCUGAGACUUGAAGUAGGGUUUCCCCUUGCGUUGCAAGGGCAGCGGCUUUUGUGGCGCGAUGGGUAACGAUGCUUCGCGGGGGUGAAGAGAGGGACGGAACCUACACUGUUACAUAUGCCCACACCAUUCUGUUGUUAUGCCCACACCAUUUCAACACAGAAAAACUGCUUUUCAACAUACUUAAUUACAAUUUUUGGAAGGAAAACUAUUUCACUCAUAUUGUAAUAAAUUAUAGGUCAUAUUUCCUAGAAAUCUGGAAACACUGGUCAGUUACUUUAAUGUUUUGUCACAGGUGCCUGUGUAACAGUGUAGGUUCCGUCCCUCUCUUCGCCCCAACCAGGAACCCUUGCACACAUCAACAACUGACACCCACAAAGCAUCGUUACCCAUCGCGCCACAAAAUCCGCUGCCCUUGCAACGCAAGGGGAAACCCUACUUCAAGUCUCGGAGCGAGUGACGUCACUGAUUGAAACGCUAUUAGCGCGCACCACCGCUAACUAACUAGCCAUUUCACAUCGGUUACACCUGCUCUACAGUCUAUACCUGAAUGUCACGUCCUGACCAUGGAAAGCUCUUAUUUUCUAUGUUAGAGUAG
rnacentral:lncRNA from 8 species